rnacentral:rRNA from 1 species
AGAGGGUGCGAGCGUUAAUCGGAAUUACUGGGCGUAAAGGGUGCGUAGGUGGUUGCGUGAGUUGGGUGUGAAAGUCCUGGGCUUAACCUGGGGAAUGCGCUCAAUACUGUGUAGCUAGAGUACUGUAGAGGGAAGUGGAAUUUCCGGUGUAGCGGUGAAAUGCGUAGAUAUCGGAAGGAACAUCAGUGGCGAAGGCGACUUCCUGGACAGCUACUGACACUGAGGCACGAAAGCGUGGGGGAGCAAACAGGAUUAGAUACCCUGGUAGUCCAUGCCGUAAACGAUGAAGACUAGCUGUUGGAAACCCUCGGGUUUUUAGUAGCGAAGCUAACGCGAUAAGUCUUCCGCCUGGGGAGUACGGCCGCAAGGUUA